rnacentral:rRNA from 1 species
GACGAACGCUGGCGGCGUGCUUAACACAUGCAAGUCGAACGGAAAGGCCCUGCUUUUGUGGGGUGCUCGAGUGGCGAACGGGUGAGUAACACGUGAGUAACCUGCCCUUGACUUUGGGAUAACUUCAGGAAACUGGGGCUAAUACCGGAUAGGAGCUCCUGCUGCAUGGUGGGGGUUGGAAAGUUUCGGCGGUUGGGGAUGGACUCGCGGCUUAUCAGCUUGUUGGUGGGGUAGUGGCUUACCAAGGCUUUGACGGGUAGCCGGCCUGAGAGGGUGACCGGCCACAUUGGGACUGAGAUACGGCCCAGACUCCUACGGGAGGCAGCGGUGGGGAAUAUUGCACAAUGGGCGGAAGCCUGAUGCAGCAACGCCGCGUGCGGGAUGACGGCCUUCGGGUUGCAAACCGCUUUCGCCUGUGACGAAGCGUGAGUGACGGUAAUGGGUAAAGAAGCACCGGCUAACUACGUG